CCCGCCCUUCUGGUGCGCCCCCUCCCGCGCCUCGCUCGCUAGUUCGCUUGUUCGUUCGCUUGCUCGACUGCUCAUACAAUAGCAGUGAAAAACAACCAAGUUGUUUGCAUGAUGACACCAGGGUGAAGAAGGGCUUGACCACUUCCUCGAAGGAAGAAAAAGUUUUUUUAAGACACCACCUACAGCUGGAGUUGCAGGGUAUGACAUGAUUAUAACUCCUGUGUCCCGAGGAUUAAGAAUAGAGUUCGGCCUUAAAAAAGUACCACCUUAUAAAAGCUACUGCCUUCUCAAUGCUGUUUAAUGGAAGCAUUUUUCAAGGAUCUGCCUCCUAAGAAGAAAUGAAAUAUUUAGGUGGAAAAUAAUGUAGUAUUUGCUAUGGAGAAGCAAAUUUUUGUGGAUUUAUGAUGGAAAUGAGAUAUAACAUUCUGGAUACUGGCAAGAUAUCAGAGAGCAUGAACAAUGAUGCAUUCUUUACCUGAGUGGGCUCUGCUACCCACAUCAGGCUGUGCCUUUACAUGGAUGUACUCUCAUCAACUCAGGCUUAGACUCUCCACACGGGACUGACCUUUGUGUGAUGCCAUCUUCAUCCUGUAUCAGAUCAAGACUGUGGGCCUCUGGAGCAGUUGGAGCUUUCCAGAGGAAGUCACAGGUGCCGAGACCCUGAGGCAGGAGGCAAGAUGGCUGCACUGGCGCAUGCAGAGUAAGGGGGAGCCCCACUGUUAAAGAAGAUAACACUGGAGAAUCUUUUCUAACCCACACAAAGCAAGACAAUAAAACACAAGAUAAUGUGCAUAGAAGACUAUGCUUUGUUUUCUCGUGGAGCAGGACUCAUGAUUGUAAGAUAACAUGCCCAGGAUCUCUUACAUGUUGCCUGGAAGGUAUUGCUGGACCACUUGCCUUACUUCAAGAUGUUUCUGGGAAUAUAUUGGGAUCUACUGACGUGUACUGGCGCAUUAUGAGGUUGGCUUCUGCUCAUUGUUUGGCCCAAAAUUGUUACAGGAUUUCUCCAAACCUCAUGCCUGUAAACUGUAGGGUAUGCAAAUACCUUGUAUUUGGUGUCUUUGAAUAUUUGGUAGGUAUCUCAAUAAGCACAACAAAGUUAGCAAAUACACACAAUCUCGUCUCUCUGCAGGCUUCAUAGACCAAGACUUCAAUGAGCCUUGGCAACGUUAGAGUGCAGCAUCAUUUUGUAGAUAAGGACAGGUUAACCCAACACAAAAAGACAGAUUAACUUGGCUAGGGUUGCAAAAAUAGUGAAUUGAAGUGUCAAGACUAAUGCUCAUGAUUUCUAACCUCUAACCUACUUGAGAAUAUUUUGACACAUUCAUUUCUAAAACAGAUUGACAGAAAUCAUUGUUUAAAUGGCUUAGUAACACUGAUGGAUGCGUUCCUCUUUGGUAGAAAAUAGAUGUAGGCAUCCAAGAAACAUACAGUUGAGUUUUUCCUAGAUACUAUAUGUGCAUUUACAGUCAACUAAUUUAAAAAUCAGUAACAGAAUCCUAUGAUAAAUUGUUUUACUACUUUUCAUAAUUUUACAUUUGACUAAUCUUUUAUAACACCCAAAUGUAUGGGCAUGAGUUUGUGCUGAGAGGAAAACUUGCAUAAAUCUAUGAACUCAGGAGGACCUUAAGGCAUUCAAAAAUAAGUUAAUAUUCUGAAGUGUAUUAAUUCUUUUGACUACCCUGACCAGUUAUGAUCCUCAGAGACAUAUACCCCAAUUUCGAAUCCAAUUAAAAUGGUAUUCACUAGUAAAUUAACCCAUGUACAUUCAAAUCUUGAUAUAAAAUGACAUAGUCUCAAGACACCAAUUAAUUAAUCAAACAUGCAAAAAUAUGUCAAGAAAAUUAUUAAUCUAUCUUUUCUGAUAUUAUAUCUCAAAGGUCUUCAAGCCCUUUAUAUAUUAGAACCAUUAUAUACUACAUCAAUUCUUCUUCACUUCAUUUAAAAGAUAACAUUGAAAGCAUAUUUCAUAUGCUUGUUUUAGAUGCAGUGAAAAAAUGUUCUUUUCAAAGCAUAUGGUGAUAUAAUUAGGUGUCUGAAUACAGCAAGAUUGGAAAGAGAACUGUAGGAACACAAUUGGACCAAUGCACUACUCUGGUGACCCCCCCCAUCUCAACCCCUUCAUCUUCCUCCCACAUCAGUGUCUUCUCUGGGUUGUCAUUGUUUUAAUAAAGAAAAAUCUUAUCUAAUCACUAUGUUGUAUACCUGAAACUAAUUUAAUACUGUA